GAACUUCAAGGGCAAAAUCGCUGAAAAGUGAUGACGCAAAGCUAUAGGGGCCUCCGUUUAAUAACGAAGUCAGCCAGCUACCAUC
rnacentral:ncRNA from 1 species